AUGACAAAAAGCUUCAGAAACUUAUCUUGGGCCUCAAGGACACUUGGCCCCAAGAGCCUUGCUCUCACCUGGGAUGGAAGCACCUCAGGCCACCCAUUACCACCCCCAGCUCAGACCCUUCACAGAGGCUGGCUGAGGGCUGUGACUUCACAGUGGGGAGUGGAGCUCAGGAGGGGAGUGUGGAACCUAAGCUUCAGGAGUUCAGCAGGAAAUGAGGAGUUAACAACAGUCCUGCAAACUACUGAAGCAUGGCAUGCUGAGGUUUCUGUGACUUAUCCUCUGGUGCCUUCCCACUCUCUAUCUGACUCUCUUGCACAGGAUCCUCACUUCCUGAACUGUAUGGAGAUGACCUGUGGACAUUUAUUAGGACUGUGUCCAAUCAUUCCUCCUGCCACCCCAGGGCCUAGGCCAGUGCCUGCUUCACAGCAAGACUCCGUGGUGAUGGCCUGCCCUGUGAGGCUCUCCACGCUCCGGGAGGACGCCACCCUCCAAGGGCUGCCCCAAGCCUGGUACUGCUCUUCAGGGGCAAAGACUGAAGUGGAAGCUCUGGGUCUGAACUGGCCUGAUUCUCCCUAUCACAGCAGUCCUCGGCCCUCUCUGCCCCACCACCAUCCCCAAGCCAUCUGCCAGGGUUACAUGGCAUUUCAGAAUCUCUGCCCGUAACGAACACAUCCUUGGGAAGAUGAAAAGUCUGGUGCUGUCCCACAUCUACCGGCUCCCAGAGGCCACUUCAGCCAGCCUCUGAGACUUCACUGCACACAAACCACGUCUACUUUUAAUGCUCCAAAGGGUACUUCUGCUUAUUUGUUUUUCUUGCAAAAUACCCAGAUUAGCUUUCAAAAUUGCAGCUACAUCUAAAGCAAAUAACUUAGAAGAAAGGCAAGGGUGGGUCACUGAAUAAUUAUUACCUGGCUUGUCCCCAGCUGCGUGUAUCUCGGCCCCAUUCUCCAGCUCAGCCUGACAUAGCUGCAGAGUUGUUCAGUAAAUGGCCCUAAUGUCCACCAGCAGGGUAUUGGCCAAAUAUACUGUGGUGCAACCACAGGAUUUACCACUCUGCAAGCAUUGGAAAUGUGUUGAACGUCCAUGUUUGUUGACAUAGGAGAAUGCUCCUGACGUCUUGCUAGGUUGAUACAUACACAGUUCUUUGUGCAGAAAAAAAAGAAUCUGAGAUAUGUAAACCAAAAUAGUUAUUAUUUUUGUUUCUGUAAUUUUAAGAAUUUUUUAAUAAUGAUCUCUUGCUUGUUUAAUUUUAAAAUUUUAAACUUAAUGAUCAAAGCAAAAAGAUUAAAUAUAUAUUAGAAUUCAUUUAUGCUCGGUCAUAUAUAUAUUACAAGGUAUUAUAUCACAAGGGAGAUUUUACAAGGUCAGGAGGCCUACAGCCCCCAGCUUUUGUCACCUGGCAAGAUGCCACUCCUAUUUUAAGACUGAGCUUGGGGAUCCCUGUGUGGCUCAGCGGUUUGGUGCCGGCCUUUGGCCCGGGGCGCGAUCCUGGAGACCCGGGAUCGAGUCCCACGUCGGGCUCCCUGCGUGGAGCCUGCUUCUCCCUCUGCCUGUGUCUCUGCCUCUCUCUCUCUCUGUGUGUGUGUGUCUAUCAUGAAUAAAUAAAUAAAAUCUUAAAAAAAAAUAAGACUG
rnacentral:lncRNA from 12 species